CAAAGACGUGGAGGAAAGAAGGACGGGACUGUUGGAUCCAGAGUUCUCCCACCAUCCUUCUCUGGUCUUACUCCACCCUAGCGAUCACAGCUUCUCCAGAUGGGCCAUGCACUGUCCCUGUGAGGAGUGGCGGCAACACAGCCCACGUCCACUCAAGGGAAUGCGGGAAUCCUAUACAAGUAUGCUUGAAUGUCCACCACCUUCCGGGCACUGUGUUGGCGUGGGACAUGGCAGCGAACGAGACAAACCCUGCAGAGCCCUGGGGAUCUCACAUGAGCAAAAGCUUCACUUCUGAGAUCCCUGAGUCACCGUGUAAGAUGUCUGACAACCCUGCUCAUGGGACCAUGUGAAAAGGCCAUGUGGAGAGGAAGAGAGGCCCAGCUGAUGACUCAGCAUCUUAGUUCAGCCUCCAGAUGACUCCAGCCCCAGCCUUUAUCUGGAUGCACCCACGUGAGAGACCCCGAGCAGACCAGCAGAAGAACCAGCAAGCUGAACCCAGUCCACCCACUGACCCAGGAGAGAGAAUAAAAUAGUGGUUGUUUCAAAGCCGCUGAGUUUUGGACUGGUUUGUUAUGCAGUGACAGAUAACGAAAACAGUCUUCCCGUUGAGCUAUUGGCUGGUAUUCCUGAGU